rnacentral:rRNA from 1 species
CCAGUGGGGGCAGCCUACACAUGCAGUCGAGCGGUAGCACAGAGAGCUUGCUCUCGGGUGACGAGCGGCGGACGGGUGAGUAAUGUCUGGGAAACUGCCUGAUGGAGGGGGAUAACUACUGGAAACGGUAGCUAAUACCGCAUAAUGUCGCAAGACCAAAGUGGGGGACCUUCGGGCCUCAUGCCAUCAGAUGUGCCCAGAUGGGAUUAGCUAGUAGGUGGGGUAACGGCUCACCUAGGCGACGAUCCCUAGCUGGUCUGAGAGGAUGACCAGCCACACUGGAACUGAGACACGGUCCAGACUCCUACGGGAGGCAGCAGUGGGGAAUAUUGCACAAUGGGCGCAAGCCUGAUGCAGCCAUGCCGCGUGUGUGAAGAAGGCCUUCGGGUUGUAAAGCACUUUCAGCGGGGAGGAAGGCGUUGAGGUUAAUAACCUUGUCGAUUGACGUUACCCGCAGAAGAAGCACCGGCUAACUCCGUGCCAGCAGCCGCGGUAAUACGGAGGGUGCAAGCGUUAAUCGGAAUUACUGGGCGUAAAGCGCACGCAGGCGGUCUGUCAAGUCGGAUGUGAAAUCCCCGGGCUCAACCUGGGAACUGCAUUCGAAACUGGCAGGCUAGAGUCUUGUAGAGGGGGGUAGAAUUCCAGGUGUAGCGGUGAAAUGCGUAGAGAUCUGGAGGAAUACCGGUGGCGAAGGCGGCCCCCUGGACAAAGACUGACGCUCAGGUGCGAAAGCGUGGGGAGCAAACAGGAUUAGAUACCCUGGUAGUCCACGCCGUAAACGAUGUCGAUUUGGAGGUUGUGCCCUUGAGGCGUGGCUUCCGGAGCUAACGCGUUAAAUCGACCGCCUGGGGAGUACGGCCGCAAGGUUAAAACUCAAAUGAAUUGACGGGGGCCCGCACAAGCGGUGGAGCAUGUGGUUUAAUUCGAUGCAACGCGAAGAACCUUACCUGGUCUUGACAUCCACAGAACUUUCCAGAGAUGGAUUGGUGCCUUCGGGAACUGUGAGACAGGUGCUGCAUGGCUGUCGUCAGCUCGUGUUGUGAAAUGUUGGGUUAAGUCCCGCAACGAGCGCAACCCUUAUCCUUUGUUGCCAGCGGUUAGGCCGGGAACUCAAAGGAGACUGCCAGUGAUAAACUGGAGGAAGGUGGGGAUGACGUCAAGUCAUCAUGGCCCUUACGACCAGGGCUACACACGUGCUACAAUGGCAUAUACAAAGAGAAGCGACCUCGCGAGAGCAAGCGGACCUCAUAAAGUAUGUCGUAGUCCGGAUUGGAGUCUGCAACUCGACUCCAUGAAGUCGGAAUCGCUAGUAAUCGUAGAUCAGAAUGCUACGGUGAAUACGUUCCCGGGCCUUGUACACACCGCCCGUCACACCAUGGGAGUGGGUUGCAAAAGAAGUAGGUAGCUUAACCUUCGGGAGGGCGCUACCACUUUGAUUAUUGCCC